UUCACAAAAUUAUAUUUUUAUACACACGUGAUAAGAUGUAAAGUGAUCACUAUAACAAAUCUGGGAAGAAUUUAGUACAAUUAAUGUCCUUAAAGUCUAAUCCUUGAACAUUUUCUGUCAUCUGAGAAAGCAACACAACUUUAAUACUGAUUAAAUCAACUGUCCAAUAUAUCAAUUUCACCAAACGGCUUUUAUUUUGAAAUUUCCUUCUGAUCGCUUUAGGCAAGUCGCUAAACGUUUUUUUUCUUUUGGCUCAGUAGUUAAAUCCGCUUCCUGUCAUUUUAACACAGAUGCUGCGGGGCGUUUCCCAACAAACACUUAGAAACAACAAUAUUUUCUUUUUUCCUUCUUGUUUUGUUUGAUAAUUUACUUUAGCAGGAAAUGACUUGGAUAUACAUGAUAUCUAACUUGUCAGACGUCAUGGUGUGUGUAGGUUUUUUUUGUUGUUCUGUUUUUGAGGUCAUGAAAAGGAGUGUGUGUGUCAAAGACAAUAGUUUGAGCACAAAAGAGAGACGACGGUCCUCAUUUCCACCCCCAAGCUCUGCUGCGUCCUUCCAACAAAGCAACUUAAAGAGCCUUGAAGCUAAAACAUAAAAGCAUCACGCAUGUUCCUCAUGAACAGAGGGGCAAGUUUACCACACACAGAGAUUAAGACUGAAACCUCAGAUUCCCCCCCAAAAACCUGCAGUUUUUAACUUUUAUAUAAAAAAAUGCUUUUUACAUAUUUGCUAAAACUGUUAUGUUGUUGUGACAGUUUGUUAUAAGGACAUGGACUAGUUUUUACAGGAUGCUUCUCAAUUUGGCUGUUGUGGAGGUGAAAGAAAACUGUUCUGGGUCAGAUAAGAGAUUAGAUCCAGACCUCAAAUGACUCUGCGAUUUUUCACAGUACAGCGCUGGAAAACAACAACAUGCCAUUAAAAAACAAAACAGACACCAGGCAGAGGAAAAAAAUAAGCCCCUAUGUUUAGCUAUUUGUAAGUCAGUUUUGUUUUAUUUCAAGUGUACUAAAAUAUUUGCAGCAGCAACUGGACCAAAAAUACUUGCAACUCAACCAUUUAGUCCUGCUUCCAAAUCUGAGAGUUCAGCGAUAGAGAUCAAGGACGUCUUCCCCCUCCUGCAGAUGCACCGGCCUCUAAGCGUGCCGCAUUAUUCUGCAGCAGCAGCAGCUGAGCUGAACUCGGGUCUCGUCUGGGAUGCAUCACUGUCAGCGUGAGACAAAAGGCCGGCAGGAAGGAGGGAAGGCGGCUGUUAGGGUUCGGGGCGGUUCGGCCUCCCACAGGGAGUCAACACGCAGCAGCAGGUCAGGACAGAGGAGUGGCAGCUGCUGUGAGCGUCGGCGUCUUCCUCACAAAACGAUUCUUCAUCCUGUCGUCAAACAGGAAACGGAUCAGAUGAACUGCUGCUCGUGCAAAUAUCAGAGACAAACAUCAUCGAUCAUUUUCCUCUGCAGUGGAAACAGGAAGACGUGCAGAAAUGAAAAGCCGACGACAGUGAAACCUGAUUCUCCUGACGCAGCUGGAAAGUGAAGGGCAGAGGCGCAAAUAAACCCCCACAAUCCUCAGAGGAGCUUUCCGUGGUCUGCACACGGCGGCCAUCUUUAAAACGUCAAUUAUUUGUUAAUUGUGAAGGCAGUAAAACUGAAAGAGCUCAGACCUGAGUUGGUUCUGCAGAACUGAUUUGCAUCGUAAAACAUUCAGCUUCACUGACGUUAUUUCUACAGGAGAGAAGAUGAGAACCAACAAACAUCCCAAGGCAUCAAAGCUGAAAGGCAACAAGAAGCUGAAAUCUACGGAAGGCAAUUAGGGCCA